rnacentral:misc_RNA from 1 species
UUAAGUUCAGCGGGUAUCCCUACCUGAUCCGAGGUCAACCAUAGAAAAUUUGGGUUUUGGCAGAAGCACACCGAGAACCUGUAACGAGAGAUAUUACUACGUUCAGGACCCAGCGGCGCCGCCACUGAUUUUAGAGCCUGCCAUUGCUGACAUGGACUCAAUACCAAGCAGAGCUUGAGGGUUGAAAUGACGCUCGAACA